rnacentral:rRNA from 1 species
AUUCCAGCUCCAAUAGCGUAUACUAAAGUUGUUGCAGUUAAAACGCUCGUAGUCGGAUUUCGGGGCGGCUUCGUCGGUCUGCCGAUGGGUAUGCACUGACGCGGGCGUCCUUCCUUCCGGAGACGCGUCCUACUCUUAGCUGAGCGGGGCGUGGAGACGGAUCGUUUACUUUGAAAAAAUUAGAGUGUUCAAAGCAGGCUAUUUGCUUGAAUAUAUUAGCAUGGAAUAAUGGAAUAGGACUUUGGUUCUAUUUUGUUGGUUUCUAGGACUGAAGUAAUGAUUAAUAGGGACAGUUGGGGGCAUUAGUAUUUAAUUGUCAGAGGUGAAAUUCUUGGAUUUAUGAAAGACUAACUACUGCGAAAGCAUUUGCCAAGGAUGUUUUCAUUA